CCCGCUGAGGCUGAUCUGCGGCAGGGUGCUGGUGGCCACGGUUAUUGCCAUGUUCCUCUGCGGCAGCGCGGCGGCGGACUCUCUGUUUUCACCGGCAGGUGUGCGUCUCUCGACUUCCAAAGGUGAGAAGGCCGGCUCAGCUACAUCUGCAGCGUCUAUCUGGCUCCUGGACCACCUGAGGAGGCGGAUGACUACAUUCAUGGAGGCUUCAAGUCAUUCUCAUAGCACUAGGCCACUGUCUUCAAUGUACCGAAACCCUCAUGCAUGUGCACGGCAAAGAGAAGCAGAGUGGGUCCACGGCCUCUAGAAUGGACUGUGAAAUGACAGAAAGACACAUUGUCCCAGCGUCCUGCUCGAGCAGUGUGAAAAACAGGUAGUGACAGCGAUAACAAAACAGACCGUCUCAUCUUCUCUCUCUGGGUCAACCCUCCUGCGGCUAUUUGUCACAAGAAGAUCUUUCAGGGAACCGUGACCUCCAAGUGUGGUUGCCGGGGAACGGCAGUUUGCCGCCAGUUCUGAUUGGGACCCUGCAGGACAGAGAGGGCAUGGUCAAGGUGAGCAAUACUAGCCGUGGUCCCCAGGUCAGCUAAUCUCCCACGGCAAUCUAGAAUGCAAUAGAAUGAGAGAGAGGUUUGUGAGUGGGGCGGCUUAGGACCUGACAUGGCAACGGCCAGACUGGGACCGACUUUCAGGGACGGUAUUUAGUUAUCAGGUAAACUGUCCUGGUAAAGAAGAAAAAGAAAACGAAUCACAUUGGCGGAAAUAUAUAUUCACCCCAGUCUCCUUCGAAGAUGUGAGCUUUGGUAGGAUGGAUUUGGAUGCAACAGAUACAGAUUGGUCAAAUAAAACCUAUAAUUAAAAACAACCACACCAACAAGUGGCAGAACAAGUAUCCCCUGGAGUGAAUGUUUCUUGGGCUCUAGUUAACUCGGGCCUCAUUCACUAAUAUGUGCCUCCUUUGUGCCAAAAAUCGGUGUGCAUGAUGCAAAAUAACGCCAGAUUUAUGGAACAUAGUGAAUGAGAAUUGUACGAACACAGUCAGAGCAGCGCUACAGGUUUCAGGGUACAUUUUAUCCAAUAUUUCAGUUGAUUGAUCUUUAUUGUUAGAUAAAAAUAAAAGCAAUCAGCUGUCACUUCUUGUUAAGUAUUAUUUUACUUCAGCACUGGGAACUUAUUAAAGUUUAGGGGAGAACCUUGGUUCCAGAACAUUUCUAACUUCAUGGAGGGAUUUACAAUACCAUUUAAUGAAACUGCAUACAUGCAUGUGGUCAAAUAUCUUGGUGGAGAAUAUAUUCUAUUCCACUCAUUUAUACUAUAUUUCUCAAACAUGCCUGUUUUGGCUUUGGCUAA